CCCUUUAAAUCAAAUGAAUAAAUCCUAUAAAAUCCUAUGAAAUUCCUAUUGAAUUUCUCUUCCCAUACAAGUUUUGGAGAAAAUUUAGCAAGAGGUAAAACCUUAUGGAAAAAAUACUUUGUGUCUUUAUCUCUUCUCAAAUUCCUGUGUUUUUCCUAUGGUCCAAUCAAACAGUCAUUUCUACGUUUUUCAUGUAUUUUGUAAUCCUCUGUUUUACACUUAUAUUCUUGUCAGAAUACUAUGUUUUUACUAUUCAUCCAUUUUUUCAUUCUUGUGAUUCAAAGGGGCCAUAAUUCAUAUUUUCUCCUUUUUUUCAUACGUCGCUUCACAAAUUAUUAAAUAGUAUAUAUUAUUUUUUAAAAAAGUCACAUAUGGCAUUUUCUUUAGAAAUUUAGAUUAAUAUAUUUUUCUAUAUUUAUAGUUAAUAAUAAUUAUAUUUAAUUUAUUACUGUGUUUUCUGCCCCGGAUAACAUAUCUGCUGUCGACCAGGCCUUACUCUGCAAUCUAUGAUAAGUGCUCCAUCCGUCUCG
rnacentral:lncRNA from 1 species